AGAAUAACUAAACAAGAUCAUACUGAAUAGAAAAUAAUAAAAUCAUACUACUGAUAAUCCUAUAGAUGUCUAUUAAAAAAAUAAGCCGAUAGAUACUAGUUCUAAACAAGCUAAAAACCUCAAUAGUGUAUAAACAUCACAAUUACAUAAAUAUAUCUUGUCAUCAAAAUAUCUCUACUUUAAGAACUUUUUAUUCUGAAUCAACAAGACUUUAUAAUGACUUGUAUAUCUUUUGAGUCCCUUCAUAUGUCAUCAAAUGUUUUUGGUUAAGAUGCUUCCACAGAAUCAGAGCCCAUUAUUAAUUACUUUUUCCUCUUUCCUUCUAGGGAUAUCCCUCUCUCCUUUAAUUGUGUUUCCUCUCUAUUCUCCCUGCUAUCAAUGUUAAACAAAAUCUUCUUAGAAUGAAAACAUAACAAUAUUAAACCCAAUUACCAAUACAGUUAUUGGUUACCUUUUCUCUCUCCUUCCUAUCUUUUUUUUUUUCUCUUUGCAUUACAGCUCAGACUAAUUCUUUCUCUUUCCUCCCUAGUUUUAUUUCUCUCUCCUUCCUCCUCUCUAUUUACCACUAUCCAUCAGCCUCGUCCUCCUUCCCUCAUGGCUUCUCAGCAAUUGCACCAUCCUCUGUUUUGAACAUACAAAUAUGUGAGCAAGACCUCGAUUUAUAACUUUUUAAAAGAAAGUAGAAUAAUAU
rnacentral:lncRNA from 1 species